UUUAAUAUAUUGUUUUACAUGACGACACUGAAGAUAUGACACUUUGACACAAUCUAAAGGAGUCAGUGUACAGCUCAUAUAAAAGUGGAAAUUUGCAACACAGUCAUUAUUGUCUGAAGCGCUGACAACAAAAGUGAGUACACGUCUAAGUGAAAAUGUCCAAACUGUUCCCAAUUAGCCAUUUUCACUCCCCUGUGUCAUGUGACUCGUUAGUGUGAACAGGUCUCAUGAUAAAUGUGGCGUUUCCACUCUCACACUCUCAUACUGGUCGCUGGGAGUUCAACACGACACCUCAUGGAUAAAAGAACUCUCUCAGGAUGUGGAAAAAAGAAUUGCUGCACUACAAAGACCAACACCACAUAGGCCAAGACCAUACAGUGGUUUAACAGGACGGUUCCACUCAGAACCGACUUUACCAUCAUAGACCAAAGAAGUUGAGUGCAUUUGCUGAGCGUCAUAUCCAGAGGAAACCUGUGAAACUCUAGUGAACUCCAGGACCAAGAGAGUUCAGGCAGUGCUGGAAAAUAAUGGUGGCCACACAAAAUAUUGUUUUGAGUUAUUCUGAGGGGACAGCACAUGUACACUGUUAUGUGAGCUGUACACCGACUACUUAACAUUGUGUGAAAGUAUCAUAUCGUCAGUGUUGUCAUGUGAAAAGAUUUAUUAAAAUAUUUACAAAAGUGUGAGAGGUGUAUUCGCUUUUGUGAGAUACAGUAGAUUUUACCGUGAGACGUGUAAUAAAAGACGAGUCAGAGAGUUUGUGUCAGUCACAAUUAUUUUAUAGGAGCGACUACAACCACCAACCAGCCCACAAUAUCCAACUGAAAACACCACAACUCUGCAAAGACAAAAACUUAACAUACAAAAAAUAAACUCUUCAAACUGCCCCUUUAAUCUCUACAUAGCUCAUCUGACUUGAUCUAGACAAGUGACUUCAGACCAGGUCCACACACACUGUGAUGACGCUUCAAUAAUUAAACUCAGACAAACCAAGCUCAGCAAAGUGUGUGUUGGUUGGUUUGGCUGCAGAGUUUCAGUCUGAGCCAGCGUCGCUCUCACAGGGAACCAGGCGGCUAGCUAGCAUCUCAGCUGGUUACAGUAACUUAUUAAGCUCAGUUUGAAAACAAAAAAUACAGCAUGAGAAACGUUUCAAGUCAGGAUGUUCAUAAAAAAAAAAUAAACAAACAAACAAAAAACCAAAUCAAAAAGAAAAUGGUUGUGUAAAACUGAUCAGUCACCCUGUGUUUGUGUAUUUACAGAUGUGUGUACAGGUGUAUACGGGUAAAUUUGUUUGUCUUGUGGCUGGAUGUACCUGCAUUUACUUCUAUACUCAGGUGUUAUUCAUCGCCAACAGGUCUGGUUUUUAAUGGCGUCUGUUUCCGUGGCAACCAGCUCCAUCAGCGAUUGGACUGCGACAUUAACCGAUACCAGACAUCCUAGACAUUCACAUAAAACACACGAAUAAGAUGUCAGCUGAUCAGGAAGGUACCAGCUGAUCAGGGCGGUACCAGCUGAUCAGGAAGGUACCAGCUGAUCUGGAAGGUACCAGCUGAUCAGGAAGGUACCAGCUGAUCAGGGCGGUACCAGCUGAUCAGGACGGUACCAGCUGAUCAGGGCGGUACCAGCUGAUCAGGGCCUACUGGUUGGUCUCAAACCUCCUGGACUCAGAUCUAAUGAUGAACAUCUGACAGAAACGUCAGACGUUUGUUUAAAAAUAAACUCUGUUCAACAUAUUUACA